GGGAAUGUGGCUUAGUGGUAGAGUGCUUGCCUACCAUGCAUGAUGCCCUGGGUUCAAUUCCCCAGUACCA
rnacentral:tRNA from 1 species